rnacentral:misc_RNA from 1 species
GAUGAAGAACGUAGCGAAAUGCGAUACGUAAUGUGAAUUGCAGAUCUCUCAGUGAACCAUCGAAUCUUUGAACGCACAUUGCGCCCGCCAGCACUCUGGCGGGCAUGCCUGUUCGAGCGUCAUUGACGACCCUCAGGCCCCCCCGGGGGCCUGGCGUUGGGGGACGGCCCUGGCCGCCCCCGAAAUGCAGUGGCGACCCCCGCCGCGGCCUCCCCUGCGUAGUAGCAACACCUCGCACCGGGGCGCGGAGGCGGUCGCGCCGUAAAACCACCAAGACUCCCACGAGUUGACCUCGGAUCAGGUAGGAAUACCCGCUGAACUUAAGCAUAUCAAUAAGCGGAGGA